rnacentral:tRNA from 3 species
GUCAGCUUGGCAGACAAAUGCGUUAGAUUUAGGAUCUAUUUAUAAGGAGACCUUAGUUGAUA